UAUUUAGUUGCUUAUUUGCUUUCAUAGAUUUCCAUUGCCUUUAGGUGCCUUUUGCUUGCAAUUUGUGCCUUUAGGGUUAGAUGGUGCCUUGAUGAGCUUUCGUUGAUCCUCCAGCAAAAGAGGAACGCCGGUCAUUUGGUUUUCCCUGUGUUUUACGGCGUCGAUCCUUCGGAUGUCAGGAACCAGCGAGGAAGCUUCGCCAUUGGAGCGAAAGAAUGUUCAAAAUGGAAGGAGGAUAACGCGAUUCGGUGGAAGAAAGCCCUAACAGAGGUUGCCGAUUUGAAGGGGAUGGUUGUUUCAGGUUGCAGCUGAUGGGGGUAGUGGGCAAGGACAGUGGUGGAAGUACAGGCGGUGACUUGUGAUGGUGGUGGCAAGGAUGGCGGUGGAAGUAGAGGGGACUGCGGUGGUAACAAAGGAGACAACAGUGGGAGGUGGCGGCUGUCAUUGCUCUGAAACGGCCUUUAUUGCUGAUAUUGUUCAAAGAGUUUACUCUGAGCUAGAUUUGAAACUCCUUAGUACUCCGACGGGUCUUACUGGAAUAGAGACUCGAGCUGAAGGUAUUAGUUCAUGGUUGAGAUCUGAACAGCCUGAUCAUUCUGUUGUAGCAAUUUGCGGCAUGGGAGGAAGUGGUAAAACAACACUUGCCAAAUACAUUUAUAACUUAAACAAGCAAAACUUUGAAUGCAGCAGUUUUCUUGAAGGGAUUGAGAAUCAACCUGGUGAAUUGCUUGGUUUACAGAAACAACUUCUCAGAGAUGUUUCAGGAAAUAACAUAAUGAUAUCUAAUCUUUCUGAAGGAGCAUUUCAGAUCGAAAAGGUUGUAGAAAAAAAAAAGGGUGCUUAUUGUUAUUGAUGACAUCGAUGACAAAGAUACAUUAAACACUUUAGUUGGAAGAAAGGUUUUACAUACACAAAGUAAAAUCAUUAUAACAACAAGGCAUCUAAGCAUACAUACAUGGGUCGGGUCCAUAUCUUAUGGAUGCACUGUCCACAAAAUUGAAUUGUUAAAUGAUCAUGAAUCAUUGGAGCUAUUAAGUUAUCAUGCCUUUGGAUGUAAGGUUCCUAUGAAAGGUUUUAAGGAGCUUGCAAUACAGUUAGCAAAAUAUUAUCCCCUAGCUCUCAAGGUAUUGGGUUCUUCUCUAUCUGAAGGCCAGGGGACAAGAAUUGAAACAUGGAGAAGUACAGUGAAUUCACUGAAUUCCUUGAAAGCAGAUAUUAAUAUUAAAAUCCAAGGUGUACUACAAAAGAGUUCUGAUACCUUGCCCUGUGAGAGUCACCGAGAGUUGUUUCUCCAUAUUGCUUGUUUGUUUCUUGGUGAAUAUGCAAAUGAUGUGAAAAAGAUAUUGGAAGAUGACUGUCAUGCAGAAUCUGGGAUUGUGACCCUCAUUAACAGAUGCCUUGUUACUGAUCCAAGAGUUAGUGGGAACAGACUGGCAAUGCAUAAACUCCUACAAGAUAUGGCAAGAAAUAUAGUUCGAAAGGAUUCCAAAGAUCCUGCAGAACAUAGUAGAGUUUGGCGUGAUGACGAAUGUAAAACUUUGUUGAGGAACGGAGAGGCAUUCAAAACAAGUUCCCUUAUAAAGAUGAAGAACCUAAAAUUUCUCCAUCUCUCUAAUGUGAAACUCAUACAAGAAUUUUCCAGAUCUAAGAUGGUUGAAGUGGCAUAAAUGUUAUCUGAAAACAGUACCCGCAGGCCUAUUAACAAACUGCUUGGUGGCGUUACAUAUGAAAUUAGGAGAUUUGGAAGAGUUCAACCCACCCAUGGUUCUUAAUUCGCUCAAGGUUCUAGAUCUCUCUUUGUCUUACAAACUUGUCAGCCAGCAUCUGCAAACUCCACCGACUCCCUAAACUUGUGUUUUUGGACCUCAGUGGCUGUAUCAGUUUGAGUCAUGUUUGUAAAACCAUUAGAUACCUUAAGUAUCUUUUUUCCUACUUGAGCUUGUUAGGGUGCACUAGGCUGUGGAAGGCUUUAUCGAAUCACAAGUGUGUAAAUCAACUGGAAAGGCUAAAAGCUUUAUGUAUUUGUGGUGGAACUCCAGAACAGCCUUUGUUUGCCUUACCCCAAUCAUUAUCUACUUUGUUUUUAUCUUACAAUUCAUUUGAGAUCCUGCCCAGUUACAUUGACCUUAAAAUGCUUCAGUCGCUUUACUUGACUGGUUGUCCAAACCUCAAGUCUCUACCAUGUCUCCCAAGUACUCUAAAGAGGUUGCGUGUAGGAUGGUGUACAUCGCUGGAGAGAAUAACAUUCCAAUCAGCUCGUUUCACACUAGAGAAGUUUUGUUAUGAAGGUUGUUUUAAACUGUUUGAGAUUGAAGGCCUUUUUAAGUUAGUAUCCAUAGAAAAACUUGAUGAAGCAGAUCUGGGAUAUAUGCAAUGGAUUAAAGCGUAUAAAGAUCAUAAGGUGGACCUGGUUGGUGAUGAGAUUACUAAAGGCAGAACAUGGAAUAUCCAGAUGUUGUAUGAAUUUGGUAUAAGAAGCACCUAUCUUCAAGGCAUAAAGGAUCAAAGCAUGGCGACACAUCAGUAUACGUCCUCAUCCAAGUUUUUAUCCUUUCGUGUGCCUCUGCAUCCAAAGAAGCAUAAAAUUCAUGGAUUAAAUGUAACGGCCUUAUACAGAUCAUCAGGUGGUGAAGAUAGAUAUUCUUUGUUCGCCAGAAUCAGUAACCGAACCAGGGGUGUUACCUGGGUAUAUAGCCCUGUGGUGUAUUGCAAAUCCAGAGUUGAUGAAGAUGUUGUGUGGUUAAGUUAUUGGCCAAUUGGCAACUUAUUAGACGCUGGUGAUGACGUUUAUGUGGAUAUCCUAACGGAGGAAGGAACAAUAAUAAUAUUAAGUGGAUAUGGUGCGAGCCUUGUGUAUAAGGAUGGCGGUGAAGUAGAAUAAAAGAGUGAGGAAGAAGUGAUUGGAGGAGAUCUGUCUCGAUUCAAGGUAACCAAAGGAGGCUACUAUCUUUGCCGUCGUGAUUUCUUCAACUCAAUCAUCCCUGCUAUUUUUUUUGGAGACAAUAUUCAUAUUACUGAUUCACGAAGAUGGAGAACAGGUAGUGAGUUAGAAUCUGCCUUUGAGGAAGGCAAUAAUUUCCGAAACCCCAAUCAGAGUAAAUGGAAAGUAACGCUGGGAGUGAACUUUAACAGUGAAAGUGAAAUAAAAAAGAUAGAGAAGGCAGUUUAUAGUGUUCCGGGUGUUGAAUCUGUUUCCUACGACAAAGAAAUAGGAAGAUUAAUUGUCAUCGGGCGUUUUGAUCAUCACGCAGUUGUAACGUGUGUGAGGGAAUUUGAGAAGAUGGUUCAGGUCCUUGGAAGAAAGAUUAUUUAACCUUUGUUUGAUGAUGAAUCAGAAGUUUAGGGAGGAGAAACCUUUUUGGAAGUUGUUAUAGUGCAAUGGGAGGCUUGUAUAUGAAUCUGGUGAUUAUGUUUAUUUUUAGUAUGCAAGAAAUUUGAUGAGUUAAUAGAAAACGUGGCAAGCUCUCAAGUGACAAUAUCUUGUUGAGAUUGUGUCACAUAUCACAAGGAAGCGUGGCUGGUAAACUCAUAGUGCCUCAAUGUUAAAUAUUUACACUUUGUCC